CACGAACGCUGGCGGCAGGCUUAACACAUGCAAGUCGAGCGCCCCGCAAGGGGAGCGGCAGACGGGUGAGUAACGCGUGGGAAUCUACCCAUCUCUACGGAAUAACGCAUGGAAACGUGUGCUAAUACCGUAUACGUCCUUCGGGAGAAAGAUUUAUCGGAGAUGGAUGAGCCCGCGUUGGAUUAGCUAGUUGGUGGGGUAAAGGCCUACCAAGGCGACGAUCAAUAGCUGGUCUGAGGGGAUGAUCAGCCACACUGGGACUGAGAAACGGCCCAGACUCCUACGGGAGGCAGCAGUGGGGAAUAUUGGACAAUGGGCGCAAGCCUGAUCCAGCCAUGCCGCGUGAGUGAUGAAGGCCCUAGGGUUGUAAAGCUCUUUCACCGGUGAAGAUAAUGACGGUAACCGGAGAAGAAGCCCCGGCUAACUUCGUGCCAGCAGCCGCCGUAAGAC
rnacentral:rRNA from 1 species